GGAUUGUGGCUCAGUGGUAGAGAGCUCGCCUAGAAUGUGUAGGACCUGGGUUUGAUUCUCAGCAUCA
rnacentral:tRNA from 1 species